CGGAGGGGCGUAGCGUUGUUCGGAAUUACUGGGCGUAAAGACGCACGUAGGCGGACCGGAAGUCAGAGGUAGAAAUCCAGGGACUCAACCUUGGAACUGCCUUUGAAACUAUCGGUCUGGAGUUCGAGAGAGGUGAGUGGAAUUCCGAGUGUAGAGGUGAAAUUCGUAGAUAUUCGGAGGAACACCAGUGGCGAAGGCGGCUCACUGGCUCGAUACUGACGCUGAGGUGCGAAAGCGUGGGGAGCAAACAGGAUU
rnacentral:rRNA from 1 species